rnacentral:rRNA from 1 species
UACGUAGGGGGCAAGCGUUGUCCGGAUUUAUUGGGCGUAAAGGGCGCGUAGGCGGCUGUACAAGUCCGGGGUGAAAGCCCCCAGCUCAACUGGGGAAGUGCCUUGGAUACUGUGCAGCUCGAGCGAGGCAGGGGUAGUGGGAACUUCCGGUGGAGCGGUGAAAUGCGUUGAUAUCGGAAGGAACGCCGGUGGCGAAAGCGCACUACUGGUCCUCUUCUGACGCUGAGGCGCGAAAGCCAGGGGAGCAAACGGG